GGGCUGCAGUGAGGAAUAUUGGACAAUGGGCGCAAGCCUGAUCCAGCGACGCCGCGUGAGUGAUGAAGGCCUUUGGGUCGUAAAGCUCUGUCAGCAGGGAAGAACGGCCCUACGGUUAAUACCCGUAGGGAUUGACGGUACCUGCAGAGGAAGCACCGGCUAACUCCGUGCCAGCAGCCGCGGUAAUACGGAGGGUGCGAGCGUUAAUCGGAAUUACUGGGCGUAAAGGGCGCGUAGGCGGCCGAUCAAGUCAGAUGUGAAAGCCCACGGCUUAACCGUGUGAAGUGCAUCUGAAACUGGUUGGCUUGAGUAUCGGAGAGGAAAGUGGAAUUCCCGGUGUAGAGGUGAAAUUCGUAGAUAUCGGGAGGAAUACCGGUGGCGAAGGCGACUUUCUGGACGAAUACUGACGCUGAGGCGCGAAAGCGUGGGGAGCAAACAGGAUUAGAUACCCCAGUAGUC
rnacentral:rRNA from 1 species